rnacentral:misc_RNA from 1 species
UGUGAUGCUGGUCGGCGCGUAUCCGUUUGAAGAUCCUGAUGAUCCAAGAAACUUCAAGAAGACAAUAACUAGGAUAUUAAGCGUACAAUAUUCGAUCCCUUACUAUGUCCGAGUCUCCAAGGAGUGUAAUCACCUCUUAUCUCGGAUAUUCGUAGCUGAUCCAGAGAAGAGGAUAACGAUCGAAGAAAUAAAGAAGCAUCCAUGGUUCUUAAAGAACUUG